ACGCACUGUCCUGCAGGUGACAAUGCUUCUGAUAUUGAUUGCUCCACCAAACAUUGCUGGGAAUCAUUCUGAUAGGGGGAUAUUGAGCUUGGUUAUGUACUUGUUGGACACAAGGUUGUAAGAAAAAUAUAAAAUACAGAAAAUGAGGGACCCUGACGUGAUUUUGAGACCCCAGACCUACUAUUAAUUUUCCAUUGCUUUUGUAAUUAUACAUGCGUUUUGCUUAGUUAGUGAAUUUCGGCUGGAUAGGAGGUUGAAGGGUUUUUUGUUACUGAAAAAACCUGGAAAGUUUUGUAUAAGGAUUAAUGUAUAAAAUAAUUAUACCAAAAAUUGUCACUAAUUACUGUUUAAUUUAUCUUGUAAUAAAAAUUGCAUAUUAUAUUUA